UCCCUGGAGGACUAGUGGUUAGGCCUCUGCACACUCACCACCAUGGCCUGGGUUUGAUCCCCGGCCAGGGAA